AUUUUCCAGAUAGGGAGGCUACAAAAUUAGUAACUGAUUCUUCAGAGCAGGCACAGGCUUUUCCAACUCUGGACACCUGGGUUGCAGAAUCACCUUGUGGGACUUGAUCAACCAAGUCAUGCUUUCUCUAGAGAGCACAGGGUCAGUCAUUUGAGGCCCUAUUUUCCAAGCCCAUAGCUGAUAAAUGCCUGUUACAGGAUAGACUGAACCAAGCUGAGGGCAAAAUCAGGCUGGAAUCCACUUUCUCAUUAUCCUGAGGAACACAGGGUGCUCUAGCCCAGUUCUUUUCAAACGAUAGUCCAUUCAAAGUCUGCUUUCUGCCAGUAGUAAACCUAAGAUGAAAACAAUGAAACAUGAGCUCCGUCAGCUAGAUGCCCAAGGGAGUGGGGGACAAAAGAGCUGCUCAAACUGGCCUAUCAGACAGAAACUGGCUUAGAGAGUUAGAUCAACAUGGUCGAUCUGAUGUUCUCAAUAAGAGUUGCUCCAAUGGCCCAGAUCCUUGUAUUUGGACUCAUAUUCUGUUCUUCAUGAGAUUUCUUUACAGACUUCAAUCUUUCAGCUUAGUAUCUACCACAAAGGCCCUCUUCUGUUAUUAUCUUAUCUAUCUGUUAUCCAUGAAACUUCUUGACCCUUUCUGAGAUAUGUCUAUUUUCAGUCUAAACUAACUUAAAGUAACCCUUAAGUUCCUAUGUCGAGUAAUCCUGCAUAAAGUAACAUUUAAAAAAAUUCAAAUGUAUCUUUUUGAGGGCUUUAAGAGGUACAUCCAACCAUAACAUAAAGGAAGCAGGUAGAUUCAUUUACUUUCUAAUCCAGAUAUUUCCUAGUUAUAGAUAAUGGUCUCUUUACACCACCUCCUCUCAAGAUUAAAAAAAGUCCUAAACUAUAGAGCAGUUAUGUUAAAUUUGUAUGUACUGUACAGUUGUGCCUCCGUAUGCAUGGAGGCUUGAUUCCAGAAUCUCCCUGCAAUAUCAAAGUCCAACAUGCAAAAAAAUCCCAUAUAUGAAAUGGUGUAGUGUUUGCAUAUAACCUAUACAAUUCCUCCAGUUUACUUUCAGUCAUCUCUACAUCAUUUACAAUACCUAAUACGAUAUAAACGUCAUAUAAAUUUCAUCCUUUCCUGAAAAGAUCUUUUAACUGGAAAAUGGUAAAAACAAAAAUUUAAUAAGCAAUCAUAAAUUUCUUUACCAUCUUUAGUGACAAACAUCUUUUGUUUUACUGCUUUGUCGGUUUUAACCUCAUAUAGGCUGUGGUUUUAAGUCGCUUGAGAUGUGAGAAAAACCUAUUUGUUCAGCACCUAGUACUCAGUGUGUUGGGAAUUAACUACUGAAAUUGAAACACAUGGAUCGAGGGUGUUUAUUUCACAUAGAACAAUAUUUUAAGCAUAAAAAGCAUACAAAAAUGCUUUAAAAGUAAACAAAGCUGAUAUAGAUUUACAUAUCUGAUAUUACAUAGAAAAGCAUCAGUUUUAUUAACAUUGUUUCAUUUAUAUUCCCAGUUCUUAAGAGCUCCUGACAUUUAUUUAUUCUUCCAUUACCUAAAUCCUAGUUAAUGGAGCAGCUAGAUAAUACUGAAAAAACAAAACAGAAGUACAAGUCACAUAAUACAAUGACAACAUGUUUUUAAUCAUAUUCCAGUACAACCUCUGUGUCUUUCAAAUUCUAAUAUAUGGACUAAGUAUGAAAACUAAGAGCAAAGGUCAAAGGUGGAGGAAGGGAAAAUGUAAAUUCUGAAAAUAAUAUACUAAAUGUGAGGCAGACCAGGCAGGAAAUCUCUUCUGAGAUGGUUUACAAUGAAGAGAUGAAAUUUAGUGAGAAAACAGAGAAAGUACUUAGAAAAAAACAGAAAAGAAACAGAAGAGAAUCUUAAAUUUAGAAGAAAUCUGGGGCUACUCAUGGUAAAAAAUCUUUUAGAAAUCCAUAGUAGCUGGCCAUCCAGGCACUUUUGGAAAGACAGACAGGCAAACACACACACAGAGUCAGAAAGAGACAAAGAUAUAGGCAGAGACAGAAAGAGAGAAUGUAUUACACAUACACGCAAUUCAAAAUAAAAAGUCAUAAUUCCACAUUCUGAAAUAGAUUUCCCCAGAAAAUGGUAAUUUAUGUCUAGCACUGAAACUACAAACCCAAAAGAAUUUUUGGAGUUUGUAGUUUUAACUUUGUAGGCAAGAGUGUGGGUUAUCUCUCCUCAGUACAUUUUACAUGGACAUUCUACUUCUCUUAGUUUCCUUUUUACAUUAACAUGAGGGUAAAUUUCCAUCUGUGACUGGUCAGAGGCUCUAUAGCAAAUCAAUGUAGAUGCCAGGAUGAGCGUGGGGAGUCGUGGAGUCCUUACCAGCGUGGUGCUAGUCAAGGAUAGGGCGAAGUGGAGGUAGGAUUGAUAGGGACAGCAGUUUGGCUGGUGUUGCAGGUCACACAUGAACUCACAUUUGAUAUACAGAUAAGGUCUUCUGUCCUGCUUAUCUCUUUCUAAAAUUAUUAAGUGCUUUGAUGACCUUUUGAGGAAUAGUGUGCAAUUCUAAGUAGUGUUCAAACAGUGAAUGGCAGCACUUAAUAACAGCAGAAGGACUCAGGAAAUCCAAAGGAGCACAUUAGCAUGUCAUAAAGCUCUGGAAGUAAUUUACCUGAUUCUGAGACGUUAUUUAUACUCAAAGUGCUGCUUCCAUGAAAAGAGUAGAAAAUUAAACGACAAAAAAUUUGUUUAUUAUAGCUAAGACAUUUAAAUCAAAUAGCAAACCAAAAUUUGGGGAUUUUUUUUCAUAUUAGUUAACUUUUCUACCACCUAUUUAGAGCAGAUUCCUACACAUAGAAGAUGGCAUAAUCUGUAUGUGUCUUGCACCUACCAGGAGGUGAGCAGUUAUCCCUGUUGUCUUUGAAUCAAAAUAAAGCAAAAACCAAGAAAAGUCAUGACCAAGAGAAAAAUAAGACAUCAGUAUAGUUCAAAGGCUUUGCAUCACCAUAGGCAGCCAACAAAAAUUAGGUUAACUCUUCCUCAAGAAAACAAAUCUCAUUAGCCAGUAGUCCAUCAUAUAACAAAUUUUAGGAUGAGUAUUGAACUACUUACUACCUGUAGCCAUCAUCAGUUACCUUGGGAAUAAUCAUUCAAUGAAUGUAAGAAGAUAAAUCUAGAUGGUAUUUGUAUAAAACAAUGGGACUUUUCUUGCCCAGUGAAAGAAUGUCAAUCCAAAGUCUUGGCAUUGUAGGUUUUUGUUUUCUAGUGUUAUUUUUUAAAAUUUUUUAAUUAAAAAAAUUUUUUUUGGUCUUUUGUCUUUUCAGGGCCAUACCCGCAGCAUAUGGAGGUUCCCAGGCUAGGGGUCUAAUCGGAGCUGUAGCCGCCGGCGUACACCAGAGCCAUAGCAACGCCAGAUCCAAACCCUGUCUGUGACCUACACCACAGCUCACAGCAACGCCAGAUCCUUAAUCCAAUGAGCAAGGUGAGGGAUCUAACCCUCAACCUCCUUGUCAGAUUUGUUUCCACUGUGCCAUGAUGGGAACUCCUCUAGUGUUAUUUUUUCCUUUCUCUGAAUAUUUAAUUAGUAGUAGCUUCUGUUCCCAUGACAUAUUGGGAUUCAUGAUAAGCCUCUGUCCAUGUACAAAUGCAUCACUAGACAGAAGGGUUAUCAACACAUGUAUUGUUUCUCUAUUUGUUUUUGUUAUAUAUGUGUAUUUGUGGUUCUAUAAUUCAUAAGACAUAUACAUAAAUAAGUGGUCAAUGCAAAGGCAGAAACAUAGGGCCUUAGGAACUUCUCUCUUUAUAUCCACCUCCUCUUUCACUCUACCUACUUUUUGAAAAUCCAGUUUCCAUGUCAUCACUUUUUAUUUUUUCCCCUUCACAGUUGAAUUUCAGCUCAUUUUCCCCUCUACUCAAUUCAGAUAGAAUCUAGAGGAUUGUACUAUUUUAUUUCUGUCCUUCGCUUCUAACUGUCCUUCUCUGCAGCAGAAAAGAGUCCAAGGAUGUGCUUAGGUAUCAUUACUGGAUUACUCUUCCCAAAACAGUAAUAAAAGUAUAGCUUAUCUUUUAGACCAACUGCAAGUUGGCUCAUUGUUUCUUAGCCAAUUGAUUGCAUUUUAUUCUCUGUCCUUCCCUGUACACAAAGUACCUCUAUGGUAUAAGAUGAGGGUAGAGACAGUUGAAGAGAAGUGUAAAAGUGUUUCCAUUUGUUUCCUACUGUUAGUAAAGUAGAAUGUUUUCAUUCAAUAAUCCUAGAGCACCUAGUGCUGUUUACUAACAUAAACUAAGUUUUCUUGUGAUUUUCUACCUGAAGAAAUCUAAGAUAUGAAAGAGACUAAUUGGAAGUAAGCAAAUCUGGACUGUUUUUUAAGUUCUUAAGUUCUAGCAAACUUGGAGAAGUUACUUAACUCCUUUGCAUCUGUUUCCUCUUCUGUAAGAUAAGUAAUGUAAUUGUUAUGUAUUACAGAUUAAUUUUUAAACUGAAGAACAUGUUAUGGUGGUAAUAGCAUGAUAUCUGAUGUUUACAUGUUGACAGUAAGCUAUAUUAUGUCAGAAAGACUGAUUUCUUUUUUUUAUUGGCUUAAGUUUUGAGUUAGUUCCCUUCUUGGCCAUCAGCUCUAACCAUAGACCUUCAUUAUAUCAUCCUGUAACAUCCUAGGUUUCUAUUAGAGGCUUCAAGGAAUUACUCCUAAAAUGUUAAUUAUGAAAGAAAUCUAUAGUAUAUACGGUCCAAAUCCUCUAAUGUUAUAUAUGAAGUAAUUAAUAUUUGGAUAAGUAAACAAGCUUUGUUUAGCUCUCAGACCUAGUGACUAACACAACCUGGGUUACACUUGAAAUUUUCUUACCUUCAAGUUAUGGUAUUGAUACUGCUUAUUAUAUAGGACUAUUCAAGUGAGAUGUUUGGAUGGGUUGAAAUGGUUGGGUUUAACAUGCUAAGUGUUAAACAUCUUUUAUAAAGUGACAUUCUAUGUUUGCAGCUCAAACAGGAUACACACGGAGCCCUCAGUAUCAGUCAUAGCUGAAAGGUUUUCUAGAACCUUAACAUAUGUUAAACAUUAAAGCUCUCUUACUAAAUCAGAGUUAUCUAGGGCCUAGCAAUUACAGCCUCCUGGUACUUCCAGGAAUACAUUAUCUUGCCCUAAUGGAGAGCAACUUAACCAAUGUUUCACUUCUUAAUUAGUCUUUGUUGGCCACUGAAGGGCCGAGGCUGAUGCUUAUGCUACCAGAUUCAUCUCUGGUAUUACUAAAGUCACUCUGAUAAACUCAACUAGUAAGACUAUAACAGUCUAGAUCUCAAAUGCAAUAAAGGAGCUCUACGGUCCAUCUAACCCCACAACCUUAAUUGCAGACACUCCUAUUAUAGUUUUCAUGGGGCAGAAGGAUUUUAAUUCUGUGGCUACCUAGGAACAUGGGGUGCUAUCUUGAAGAGAAAUUGUCCUUUCACAUUGCUCUGUGACAGUCCUCUAUUGUUUCUGUCUAUCACCCCAUUAAGAUGGCAACUUCAUUAGAGUAACAGUCUUAGGUGACUAAAAGUGCCCUAGGUGAAUAAUUGACUAGUCACAUAUUAUUAGGACAUAUUUCAUGCAAGACUGCGGCCUGAAGAUAUGUCAUACUUUGGAAAACUCAAUAUGAAACUAAACAAACUUUAACUUAUAAGCAAAUAAAUUGGAUAUCUGAGUUCCCAGUGGGAGGGCUGAUUAUUCAAAUUUUAGAGUUUUAUCACUUUAAAAAUGGUUCAGUACUGAGAUUCUUUAUAAAGUGCCCAUGGGAAUGUAUAUGUAACUUUCAUUAUUAAAAAUCCAAUAAACACAGUUGUUCAGGAAGCAAUCCAUUGUGCAGAGUAAGGCAUACAUACACAAUUUUUGGGUACUUCUUUUGGCUUAAACAUUGAGAAAAUCAAACCUUUGCAUACUAUCAGAAUUACAGAUUCAUUUGUGAUCCUUAUCAAUGGAUCAAGCCAAGAGCUGUGUAGUUUUUAAGAAGGUGGAUAUAUAUAGAGAGAGGUAUACUAUAUAUAUACCUCUAUUUGUUCAGGAUAAUCCCAGUUUAUAUAAGUUGUUUCAAAGCAAUUAUUAAUAGUGCCUCAAAAAUGUCCUAGUUUGGAUUAUGUGGUCACCUUAUUGUUAGAUUGCUUUACAAUGAAAUAAGCUCAUUGUUAGCUUGAAUACAGAAUGCCAUUACACAAAUAAAAUUCAGCUAGGACUAAAAGCAAAGCCAUUAGGACAUUCAUUCAUUAGUUCAUUAUGUAUUAUUCAAACUUAAGCAAGUAUUCCUUAGGCAUUGUGUGUCAAUAUUUUUUUUUUCUUUUUAGGGCUGAACCCAUGGCUUAUGGAAUUUCCCAGGCUAGGGGUCAAAUUGGAGCUGCAGCUGCUGGCCUAUGCCACAGCCACAGCAAUGCCAAAUCCAAACCAUGUCUGCAACCUACACCACAGCUCAUGGUAAUGCCGGAUCUUCUAACUCACUGAACAAGGCCAGGGAUUGAACCCACAUAUUCAUGGAUACUAGUUGCUUACCACUGAGCCAUAACGGGAACUCCAAUAAAUAUUUCUAAACAAUUUAUUGAGCCUUGAGGAUACCAAAGAUCCAAACGUGAUUUUGGACAAAGCAUAUAUGUAUGUUGUAUGUUUCAUUUAACAUUUAAUAAGAGAGAUUGCAAUUUACAUUGUAUAAAAAAAGGGAAUGGGUUUAUCAAGGUUUCGUAUCUUGCUUAUUAUUACACAGUAAUAUACAUGGAAAAAUUGAAAUUCAUAGGCACUCAUCAUUAAAAUUUUUACUUAUACCUCCAUGAUUUUACCGUUUAGGCGUAAUUGAGAGAUGCAUGAAAGGACCUUGUACUAGUAUAUGGGAGAGAAUGGAGAGAAAUGAUAAUGAAAAAGGAAUAGGUAGAGCCCUUCUCAAUGUAGCAGCUUUCUCAGCUCUUGGGACCAUCCAAUGGGAGGGCUUAUCUAGGUCCUACCAGGGAAAGUGGGACCCAUGUGGAUAUGCUAACAUGGAUAACAUCUAUCCAGCCCACUGAAAGAUCUGCAGUUACACAAGUACUUCAUCAUGUUGGGCUGUAUUUCAUUUACUGUUCAAAUCACCCUUCCCAAAGUUACCUCCUUUACUCCAUGGAAAUCCCUACCCUCUUGCCAACCCUGUCCUUCAGCCUUCAAAAGAAGAAUAUUAUUUCUGUAAAUGUGCAACUGUUUCUAAAAUUAUGAGUAAAGUACAAAAGAAACAGAACAAAAAUGAAA
rnacentral:lncRNA from 1 species